rnacentral:rRNA from 1 species
GAUGGGAGCUUGCUCCCUGAUAUUAGCGGCGGACGGGUGAGUAACACGUGGGCAACCUGCCCUGCAGAUGGGGAUAACUCCGGGAAACCGGGGCUAAUACCGAAUAAUCGAUCCUUUCGCAUGAAAGGAUUCUGAAAGACGGUUUCGGCUGUCACUGCAGGAUGGGCCCGCGGCGCAUUAGCUAGUUGGUGGGGUAACGGCCUACCAAGGCGACGAUGCGUAGCCGACCUGAGAGGGUGAUCGGCCACACUGGGACUGAGACACGGCCCAGACUCCUACGGGAGGCANCAGUAGGGAAUCUUCCACAAUGGACGAAAGUCUGAUGGAGCAACGCCGCGUGAGCGAAGAAGGUUUUCGGAUCGUAAAGCUCUGUUGUAAGGGAAGAACACGUACGGGAGUCACUGCCCGUACCUUGACGGUACCUUAUUAGAAAGCCACGGCUAACUACGUGCCAGCAGCCGCGGUAAUACGUAGGUGGCAAGCGUUGUCCGGAAUUAUUGGGCGUAAAGCGCGCGCAGGCGGUCCUUUAAGUCUGAUGUGAAAGCCCACGGCUCAACCGUGGAGGGUCAUUGGAAACUGGAGGACUUGAGUACAGAAGAGGAAAGCGGAAUUCCACG